AACCCAGCACCUCAAGUGGUCAGGAGGAUUAUUGGGCCUAAAGCAUCCGUAGCCUGUUCUGUAAGUUUUCGGUUAAAUCCAUACGCUCAACGUAUGGGCUGCCGGGAAUACUGCAAAACUAGGGAGUGGGAGAGGUAGACGGUACUCGGGAGGAAGGGGUAAAAUCCUUUGAUCUCUCGAUGACCACCUGUGGCGAAGGCGGUCUACCAGAACACGUCCGACGGUGAGGGAUGAAAGCUGGGGGAGCAAACCGGAUUAGAAACCCCAGUAGUCC
rnacentral:rRNA from 1 species